rnacentral:rRNA from 1 species
GUGCCAGCCGCCGCGGUAAUACGUAGGGGGCAAGCGUUGUCCGGAAUUAUUGGGCGUAAAGAGCUCGUAGGCGGUUCUUUAAGUCGGGUGUGAAAUCUCAGGGCUCAACUCUGAAACUGCACCCGAUACUGGAGAACUUGAGGCAGGUAGGGGAGAUCGGAAUUCCUGGUGUAGCGGUGAAAUGCGCAGAUAUCAGGAGGAACACCGGUGGCGAAGGCGGAUCUCUGGGCCUGUUCUGACGCUGAGGAGCGAAAGCGUGGGGAGCAAACAGGAUUAGAUACCCUUGUAGUCC